rnacentral:rRNA from 1 species
GACGAACGCUGGCGGCGUGCCUAAUACAUGCAAGUAGAACGCUGAAGGAGUAGCUUUCUUCUCUGGAUGAGUUGCGAACGGGUGAGUAACGCGUAGGUAACCUGCCUGGUAGCGUGGGAUAACUAUUGGAAACGAUAGCUAAUACCGCAUAAGAGUAGAUGUUGCAUGACAUUUGCUGAAAAGGUGCAAUUGCAUCACUACCAGAUGGGCCUGCGUUGUAUUUGCGAGUAGUAGCGGUAACGGCUCACGAAGGCGACGAUACAUAGCCGAACUGAGAGGGGGGUCGGCCGCACUGAGACUGAGACCGGGCCCAGAGUGCUACGGGAGGGAGCAGUAGGGAAUCUUCGGCAAUCGGCGGAAGUCUGACCGAGCAACGCGGCGGGAGUGAAGAAGGAUGUCGGAUCGUAGAGGUCGGUUGUAAGGGAAGAACGAGCGUGAGAGUGGAAAGUUCACACUGUGACGGUAUCGUACAAGAAAGCGCCGGCUAACUACGUG